UCCAACUUGAGAGUUUGAUCCUGGCUCAGAGCGAACGCUGGCGGCAGGCUUAACACAUGCAAGUCGAGCGGGCGUAGCAAUACGUCAGCGGCAGACGGGUGAGUAACGCGUGGGAACGUACCUUUUGGUUCGGAACAACACAGGGAAACUUGUGCUAAUACCGGAUAAGCCCUUACGGGGAAAGAUUUAUCGCCGAAAGAUCGGCCCGCGUCUGAUUAGCUAGUUGGUGAGGUAACGGCUCACCAAGGCGACGAUCAGUAGCUGGUCUGAGAGG
rnacentral:rRNA from 1 species